CAGUGAAGGCCAGCGUGAUUGACUUGACAACCAAUUCACUGAAGUCAAGUAGAGAAUUCACGAAUUAUACUAUGAAGUUUCCUAGAAAAGUUGAGGAACAUGGCUAGCUAGCCCUCCCAAGGGGGGGCUAUUAUUAAUGCUUCAACAAUUAUGGAGAUAUCCCAAGAGACAGCUGUGAACAUUGUAGAACAUAGUGCACCAGGAGAAUUGACACUGCGAAGGUAAGAACUCCCCGACCCAAGCACGAACUCUCACCACAGGGCCGAAGGCUCAUUCAGGCUCGGGCCAUUCUUCUCUUCUCAUCAGUCCCAACUCUUGCUCCUCCCAAUCUAGAGUCCCGACACUAGGAAUUUUCGAAACUACUUUGGAGGAACCUGCCGACAGUCUGAAUGCCUAGCUCAAGACUACCGAAGCUGCGAAAAUAAGGGACUUGGCUCUGUUGCCACAGACCCAGCUCCACUUCACCUCCUUGCCGAAGGUCUGAACACUCCAGCUCCACUUUGGUUUUUUCGUUGUUUUUCUGAAAAUGGUCCCAGCUACUAUUGCCGAACGGCAGGUGUUGAAAAACCUUAUUUAUUGCCCCCCCUAUUUCUAACCCUAGGCCCAGGAACCCAGCCCCUUGUUUUGGCCAAGACACAUACAUCUCGAGCCAAGCCUCAGGUCUUGUUGACUCCUUGCCGAACGGCAAGGAGCAUUCAAACAUAUGGAAGCUCACGCGCAAGCUUUGGGCACUCUAAAGUCCAGCUCACCACAGGUCUAGCUCCAAAAAAAAAAAGGGGGGAGAGCCAAACCCUGGCCACAUACCCGGGUCCUUGCCCAAAACAAGGACCUUG